rnacentral:lncRNA from 1 species
GCGAGAGGAGAUGCCGCAGGACCUUCGCGACCCUGCGGGGUUGUAGAGGAGCCCCGACGCCGAGCGUCGUCCAGCUUCGAGGGCUCCUGAGGCGCGGUCUGAGCUGCCCCGGGCCGCCACCUGACUCUCCCGAAGAGGGCUUCGGGACCCAACACUUCCUCAGAGAAGGAAACCCAGGUGAAGAAACUGAGGCCCAGAAGGGUGUUAGCAGCAAUAAUGGUGAGAAAAAAAAUUUAGUUAUAUCUUUAAUAUGUACUUUAAGUGCGUAUUUAAUAAAACAGGCAAAAAUUA